rnacentral:ribozyme from 1 species
UGCCCAGAAAUUCCUAUCCCUACCUCCUCGUGGUACUGACCUGGGUACGAGUAACCUUAGGGAAGAUCGGAAAACCAACCCCGAUGGGUACUUUGUUUGUAUGCUGACAGGGAAGG